CCCUUCCCUUAAGGGGGCUCCUGCCUUAAGCACGGCGCGUGGGCGGGUCUCCGAAGCCUGCAGCCCCUCCCUCCCCGCCUCUGCCACCUGUCGCGCGACUCUUCAAUUUUCUCCCUUGGGCCUCUUUCCUGGGCCUAAACCAAUCUCUCUAAUAUAGUUGAGGACGAGUGCAGACGUGUUUUAUUAUUGUUGUUGUUUUACCUGAGUUCGAAUUCAGCCAAUGUCCCUUACAAGUUGGACGGCAUUGGGCGCGCUUCUAGAAGCCUCAUUUUGUAAAUAAGAACAGCAGCACUCACCUCCCAGAGUGCUGUGAGGAGUAUAGAGCGGUAGUGCAAUGUGCUAACACUGAGCUGCUCUCAGAACUCAGCCAAAGGACAUGGAGCCCUGCUCCACCUCCACCUUACUGCCUUGAGCGGAGGAAAUGGUCCCCCUCUUCACAGCCUCCUCUGAACUGGUUCUGUGUGGCUGAGACCCUAUCAACUGCCAGCUCCCCAUACUUGGAGCAAGUUGAUUGAAGAGCUGGAUUUAACUCUGAAGAGGACAAAUUCAUGAGCUAGACUUUGGAGACCAGAAAAGGCCUUGGGACGUUAUCUGAUGAAUUCUCCAUUCUCCUGUCAUCAGCUAUUGAAAAUGCAUUCAUCUAGUUGGAAGCCACACCAGGUAAGGAAUCGGAGGCACAGAGGUUUUAGUACCUUGCCCAAAGUCACCUAGCUCGUAAGUGAUGGAGUCAGAAUUUUCAUGGAGCCUAAAUUUCUGAACCCAGCAUCAAGGCUCUUCCCAACUGGACCACAGCCUUCCUUAAUGUUCUCAAAACACUCUCCUCCUCAUCGCGACCACCCUUGAGAACUUCGGACUACGCACCAUGCAGGUUCUUGCCUUUGUUUCUUGCUUUCCAAUGUGAUUUGGUGCAUGCAUGCGUAGUCGGGAAUCUUACGCGCCCAAAGUGACGUUCAGCCUCUGUUCCAGAUUCCAGAGGAGCUUCCUGCCAUAGCACUAUGACUAUGGAUAAGUGUUUGGAGAUAUGUUUCAUCAUAAUUACUCUCAUUUACACUGACAAUGAGCAUUGAAUAAAAUUGCUAAAUUUUA